GGUACAAAAUUAUAAACGCAACACUUUUGUUUUUGCCCCCAUUUUUCACGAGCUGAACUGUGAGGUGGAUGGAUUAUCUUGGCAAAGGAGAAGUUCUCACUAACACAGAUUUAGACAGAUUUGUGAACAAUAUUUGGGAGAAAUAGGCCUUUUGUGUACAUAGAAAAAGUCUUAGAUCUUUGAGUUCAGCUCAUGAAAAAUGGGGGCAAAAACAAAAGUGUUGUGUUCAUAAUUUUGUUC